rnacentral:rRNA from 1 species
AGUAAAAUUCUUUUACGUCUAUUCAUAGUAAAACAUUACUAUUUUAUUAUAUAGCCUUUCAGUAAUGUAAUUAUUGGAGGGACUGAGAUAAAUUAUUCUCGUAAACAAGUAUAAUAUCGAUUUUAUCGAAUAAAGUUCUAGAUAGUGUUUAAUGAUAAUGACAGUACACAUAUCUAUAAGUCUUGACCAAAUUACGUGCCAGCAGUCGCGGCAAUACGUAGAAGACUAGUGUUAUUCAUCUUUAAUAGGUUUAAAGGGUACCUAAACGGUAUAAUUAGUCUUAAAUAAGAUACAAUUAUACUAGAGUUAUAUAUGAGGAGGGGAGUAUUUAUGGAGUUAGAGUUAAUAUUUUUUUAUACCAUAAGGACUGGUAACGGCGAAAGCGACCUUUUAUGUAUUAACUGACGUUGAGGGACGAAGGCUUGGGUAGCAAACAGGAUUAGAUACCCUAGUAGUCCAAGCAGAUAAUGAUGAAUGCCAUAGAUUAGAUAUUUAUUUAAUCUAUAAAUGAAAGUGUAAGCAUUUCACCUCAAGAGUAACGCGGCAACGCCGGAACUGAAAUCAUUAGACCGUAUUUGAAACCAGUAGUGAAGUAUGUUAUUUAAUUCGUAGGUACGCGAAAACCUUACCACNAACUUGAAUAUUAUCUUAUCAAGAUAUUACANGUGUUGCACGGCUGUCU